rnacentral:rRNA from 1 species
GUCCAGACUCCUACGGGAGGCAGCAGUGAGGAAUAUUGGUCAAUGGGCGCGAGCCUGAACCAGCCAAGUCGCGUGAGGGAUGACGGCCCUACGGGUUGUAAACCUCUUUUGCCGGGGAGCAACGGGCGCCACGUGUGGCGCCACUGAGAGUACCCGGAGAAAAAGCAUCGGCUAACUCCGUGCCAGCAGCCGCGGUAAUACGGAGGAUGCGAGCGUUAUCCGGAUUUAUUGGGUUUAAAGGGUGCGUAGGCGGCGUGUUAAGUCAGUGGUCAAAUUGGGGGGCUCACCCCCUUCCCGCCAUUGAAACUGGCGCUCUUGAGUGGAAGAGAAGUAUGCGGAAUGCGUGGUGUAGCGGUGAAAUGCAUAGAUAUCACGCAGAACCCCGAUUGCGAAGGCAGCAUGCCGGCUUCCGACUGACGCUGAAGCACGAAAGCGUGGGGAUCGAACAGGAUUAGAUACCCUAGUACG